UAAGUGAGGAUGAAGUGUAUCUGAGG
rnacentral:piRNA from 1 species